rnacentral:rRNA from 1 species
CACUCCUACGGGAGGCAGCAGUGGGGAAUUUUGGACAAUGGGCGAAAGCCUGAUCCAGCAAUGCCGCGUGAGUGAAGAAGGCCUUCGGGUUGUAAAGCUCUUUUGUCAGGGAAGAAACGGUGAGAGCUAAUAUCUUUUGCUAAUGACGGUACCUGAAGAAUAAGCACCGGCUAACUACGUGCCAGCAGCCGCGGUAAUACGUAGGGUGCAAGCGUUAAUCGGAAUUACUGGGCGUAAAGCGUGCGCAGGCGGUUUUGUAAGUCUGAUGUGAAAUCCCCGGGCUCAACCUGGGAAUUGCAUUGGAGACUGCAAGGCUAGAAUCUGGCAGAGGGGGGUAGAAUUCCACGUGUAGCAGUGAAAUGCGUAGAUAUGUGGAGGAACACCGAUGGCGAAGGCAGCCCCCUGGGUCAAGAUUGACGCUCAUGCACGAAAGCGUGGGGAGCAAACAGGAUUAGAAACCCCAGUAGUCCCA